rnacentral:lncRNA from 1 species
GGGAAGUACGACGGUUCAUUUCAGUCUUUUUUCCAAACAGCAGAUGGCCAGGUGACAUCCCUGGGAUGGUUCAGUUUCAGUGUCUGUACCGGUACAGCUUGCAGCUAUGAAGUGGUGGCUUAUCAUAAAUGAGAUGACACAGCUACACCAGGAGAAGUCCCAUCCUUUCCCACGCAAGAGCCAAGUGAUGUGCAUCAGGACAGCUCAGCUCUGCUUAGUCAGCUGCAGUACACAAAAUGCCGUUUUUCAGCACCAUCUGCAAGCUUGGGAGGGGGCUGCCAGAAACCACAGCCAGUCCCUGAGAAUUUGGCCUCUUCCUGCAGCCCACAGUUUCAGCCAGCUCAUGUUCUCCCUGGUCCUGUUUGCCUAGGGACUGCUGACAACUAACAGGCUCUCUGGAGUUUGCUCAGUGCUCUUUUAUCUGCACAAUUAGCAGAGGAUAAGAAUUCUGAUUGCUGCAUUAAGAUGAGCAUUAUGCUGAAAGGCAAGGACUUGAGAACCUGAGAGCAUGGGCCAUUUGAACUGUUCCAUGUGCUGCCAGACCACAGCAAUUAUUUGCAACCUUAUUUGCAUCCUCAUUACCAGGAUUCAGCAGAUGCCCUGUGCAGGGAAGGAUUUGAGGCCAAGGCCUAUCAUCCAGCUGCUUCAAACAAAGUCUCCUUCCCUCCACAUCCUGUGGAACUGCAGGUCUAUGAAGGGUCACCAAACUCCAGACACAAUUAUUGAGGAUCCCACUUUCCCUGGGAGGCUACAGGGCUCACGGCUGCUUCCUGGGAUCCAGGUGUCAUUUCAUGGCAGCACUGGGGUCCCUGCAUCACCCCCAGCUCCACUACCUCCAUCCAGAAUAUCCCAAGUUGAAAGGGACCCAUAAGAAUCAUCGAGUCUAACUCGUGUCUCCACACAGGACCACCCAAACAUCAGACAUACGACUAAGAGCGGAUGUGUUGAGAAAAUUUCCUCCCAUUCUAAGUCAGUGUCCUAGAGCUGAAAUCCCACCACCCCUACCCCCAAACAUGUAACUAUCUUAAUGCAUGAUGCAACAAGGGACACAUAAAUGGUUUUUAAAGCUGUCUCCCACAGAAAUUUUAUAAGCCACUGAAUGGCAUGGCAAGCUUCAAUUCCGAGGACAGACAAAAAACAUUUUAGAGAAUGAGACAAACACAGAAGAUGGAUAAGGAAAACACCACUCCUUUGCUGGCUAAACACAGAUGACUAUUCUGAACACCAAUGUUUUCCCACAGUAAUUAUUGUGCUGCAAGAAAAUAACAGCUUUGUGAACUGCCAUGUUCCUCACCCUGUCCCCAUUAUUCUAACAGCCUAAAAAGCAGUGUGGUUUCCUUCUCCAUCCCCCAUGAUACCAGCUACCCACUUUAAGAAAAGCAGCAAAUUACUGCGUAUAGACUCAGCCCCUGCUGCUUGGCAACUGGCGAAGACCCAGAACUACAGAGAGCUCACAAACUGGUGUCAGCAUUUAGGGGCCACAUGCCAUGAAUGCUGCAGGAGAGCCCAGCCAUGGUCUGUGCUGGCUGACAUCACGAUGGGCUGCAUGGACACGACAACAGACUCGUGUGCACAUGAGACUCAUUUUGCUGAGGCCACAAGAAUGUCCCAGACAAAGCUGAGCAGAAGAUGGACACGUCAUUACUAUGUCCACCUUCAAACCUGAGAAUAAAAAAGAAAAUUUCUGGCAGGUAUUUAAUUUAAUAAGUCUCCCAUUGCGUCUGCGAGGUAGCUCAGUGUUGAUAAUUAUAAAAGCCUGAGAGGAGAAAACUGAGGCACUUCAAGGUGAGGUAAUCUGUCCAAAGUCAUGGUUCAGUCCUGGCAGAGCCAGCAAUGCCGCACUGGGCUCUUGGCUCUUGCUUAGCUCUGCACACUGAGCUGAGCUCAAAUGCCAGAGGCACUGCAGGCCACCAAUUUCCCAGAAGGUGACAGCACUCUGUCACAGAAGCUGCUGCUGGCAACAGAAAAACAUGGACAUUGUGUAGGAAAAUCCAGGCUGUAAAAGCCAGGACAAUGAGGGAGAAGGGACACUAGGAACAUCAUCCAAGCAGAGCUUCAUAAUCCACGUACCACACCAGCUGUCCUGAGCUGGGGUUGACACCCGAGAUAGGCCAUUUUCUUGGCUCACGGCCCACCCUGCUGAUCUGCGUGGUGAUGUCGUGCUUGCCCUUCCCCAUAACUAGGACAAACACCUGUUGUGCCUUGUUGAUAAGGGGCAGGCUAAGGCUCAUCCUCUGGUGAGGUUUCACAGGGCUCUCAGUCAGCACCACAGCCUGAUCCCCUUCCAGUCCAUUUUCAGAGUGGGGGAACAGUGAGGCAGUAUGCCCAUCAGUGCCCACCCCCAGCAGCACUAGGUCAAAGCUGGCGUUGGCCACCAGGGCCAUGAUCUCCUUGGCAUACAGCUCUGGGCCUCCAUCCUCUUCCACACAGAGCCGCUGGUGCAGGUGCACGGGCAUGGGGUGGACAUUGAAGUACGGAACUCUGAUGUUCUGCAGGAGGUGGUUGUGCAAGCUGAAGAAGUUGGACUCUGGGUCAGUGAGUGGGACACAACGCUCAUCCACCAGCCAGAGGUGGGUGUGCCUCCACGGAAAGUCAUAAUGGUGUCUUGCCAGCCGCUGGAAUAGGGCCACUGGGCUUGAGCCGCCCGAGAGGGCCAGGUGGAACUGCCCAGAGCGUGCCACAGCUCUGCUUGCUGUCUUCUCAACAUCAGAAGCCAGCUGGGAAAUCAAGACCUCGGACCACGCUGAGACCAAGGGGCUCUGUCGAAACUUUGACUGGAUUGUUUUGUAAUCACUUGGCAUCGGCCCACUGGGGUUCAGCAAUUCCACUGGCUCUGCCACUGUGAAUGCCAGUUCCCCACUCAUCAUUUCAAAGUCUAAGAAGUGCUGGUUCUCCACUCCACCAGGGUAGAGGCGUGGGGCCUGGUGGGAAAUGCUGUUCAGCAGCGGUGUCCAGAAUGCCCAGGAGGCCAGCAAGUUCUCAGUAGUUAUGAAGAAGUCUUUCCUGCCAUGGUAGAUGUUGGAGAUGAGGACAGAAUACGCAUCUCUCUCUUUCACAGGGCUGUACAUGUAGUAAUCAGACAGUAGCUGUCCAAAAACGUGCAGGUCUGGCUGCCCUACAACUUCUCUCCAAGUGCUUUUUGGCAUGAUGGGCCUGAAAAGGUUCCUGCUCACCAGCACUGCUGGGGUGUUGAGCGCUCCAUGUCCAAUGUAGAAUACAAUCUGCUUGGGUUUACACUGGCUGUGCCCUGCAUCCCUCAAAGCCUCACUCUGCGUGCAGUAGGCCCGGUUCUUAAAGAGAACACGGACGUAACCUACCCGUUCAUCCAGAGCUUUUCCAGAAGUAAGGAGGAAAGGAACCCCUUCCCAACGCAGGCUGUCACUGUGAACGAGCACACCUGAAAUGACACAGUGAUCUCAGCUACCAAAUUCAGCCUGACACCCAAACAGCAAGCAGAUUUGUGAGGAGCUGCCAUCUAGCCAUCACUCUCCUUCCUUACCUCCCAGAAACCCUGGCAUUCACUAUGUCUCUUGCUCCACAUUUAGUUCUUUAACAACAGCACAGGAUUAACUGCUCUCCAGGUACCCU